ensembl:lncRNA
CUUGAUUUGUGGCCUAAAAUCUGUCUUGGAGAAUGUUCCUGUGCACUUGAGAACAAUGUAUAUUUUGUUUCUUUUAGAUGAAAUAGUCUGUAUACGUCUAAGUUCAUCUGGUUUAACAUGUCAUUUAAAGACAAUGGUGGGGUUUUUUAAUUGAUUUUUCUCUGAAUGAUGUAUUUAUUGAUGAAAAUGGGACACUGAAGUAUCCUACUAUUACUGUAUUGCUAUCUAUUUCUGUUAAGUCUUAAUAUUUGCUUUAUAUAUUUAAGUGCUUCUAUGUUGGGUUUAUAAAUGCUUACAAAUAUUAUAUCCUUUUGUUGGAUUAACCCCUUUAUGUAAUGUCCUUGUCAUUUAUUAUAGCCUGUUUGUCUCAUGUAAAUAUAGCCAAAACAACUUUCAUUUGAUUUCUAUUUACAAGGAAUCUUUUCAGUCCUUUCACUUUCACUUCCAGUCAGUGUGUGUCUGAUUAUCUUAAGUGCAUUACUUGUAGGCAGCAUAUAGCUUGGUCUUGGAUUGGUUUUUAUCCAUUCAGCUGCUCUGCAUACUGGUAGGUAUAUACUCAUUGGCCAUUUGUGCAUUGUUUUCAGGCUGUAUUGCAGUUCUUCUGUUCCUUUCUCUUCCUGUGUGAUUUGAUGGUUUUCUUUUGUGGUGUGCUUAGAUUUAUUUAUCCUUUGUAUAUCUAUUAUAUGUUUUCCUGUGUGGUUACCAUGAAGUUUACGUAUAACAAGUCUUUGUCAUUGCUAACAACUUAAGUUUGAACACAUUCUAAAAUUACAUUUUUACUUUCCCCCAGUUACAUUUCAGUUUUUGAUAUCACAUUUAACUUUUUAUAUUGUAUAUCACUUUUUUUUUUUUUUACUACUUUAGUCUUUAACCUGUAUGCUAGCUUUAUAAGUGACUUAUGUAAUCUAAGCUUUCUAUGUCUUUUAGUGAUUAAAUUUAUAAGAAAUUUUUAAUUUCCAAGUACUUGGGGUAUAUAUUAUUUUUAAUUUAUAAUUCUGUUAUAGUCAAAGAACAUACUCUAUGAUUUCAAACCUUGGGACUGUAGUAAAAGCUAGCAUGGGAUAUAUCUUGGCGAAAGUUCCAUGUGCGCAUCCAAGACUUUGUUUCUGGUUCUACAUUUAAAGAAAGUCGCCACUCCAUCCUGACAGCAAAAGUUGAACAGAUUGAAAAAUCAGUAACUCUUCUUGGAUUCAUGAGAGACUGGAGAAUAGAGGGCAAACUGCUACCCCAAUAUUGGAGAGCAUUCCGUCUCUUUUUAGGUUUAUGGUUAUACCUGUUUUCAGUGGCAAUUCCUAGGAUUUACUAAACAUCCUUACAUUGCUCAGUGGUAAAGAAUCUGCCUGCAAUGCAAGAGCCACAGGAGAUUUGGGUUCAAACACUGGAUUGGGAAGAUCCCCUGGAGGAGGAGAUGGCAACCCACUCCGGUAUUCAAGCCUGGAAAAUCCCAUGGGACAGAGAAGCCUGGCAGGCUACAGUUCAUAGGGGUCACAAAGAAUUGGACAC